CCCUAGUAUAUAUUAAAUUUAUUAGGUUAAUAUGUAGAAUGAAAAUUAAUGAUUUUGGCGGUUAAUUAUUAAUUAGAGGAGCUUGUUAAUUAAUAGAAUUUACUCUUUAUAUUUUGUAAUAUUGGGUUUAUUCAUCUCCGUUAUUAGAUAUAUGAUUAAAAUAAAAUUAUCUUUAAAUUUCAGGUCAAGAUGUAGCAUUAUAUUAGAAUGAUUAGCUACAUUUUAUAAUAAUUGGAUUUAAAGGAGUAUUUAUUUGAGGAAACUGAAUUUAAUUGUAAUAUUUAUUUAUAAUAUUAUUAUGAAUAGGAUUAGUUAAUGUU
rnacentral:rRNA from 1 species